CCAGUAUGUGCAAGACUGGAUGUCCAAAGCAAUUGUCUGUCAUCCUGGACUUAGGCAACAUAUGCCACAGAGUUGUGCACAGAUGUUUUGAAAACCCUAGAUCAUGUGUGAUCUAACAAGAUAAGGAAUUUGGAGUCUGUUGCAAUGCUCCAAAAUGCAUCUCUGGAGAAGAUGCAACCCAGAGGAGGAAGGAUUCUUCCUAUCUUGCAAAGCCACUAAGUGCAUGACUGUGUGCAAGUGGUACAUGGCUUGUAAACAGCUGUAUCCUUUGGGAAACCUGAAGGGUCCAAAUAGAGGUAUAUAUGUGCUGUUUGCUGUCAGCCAUUUACACAAGGCUCUCAAAUAUGCCUUUCUCACACCUGAUCUAUCAUGUCCUGCAGCAGGGCCAGCAUUUUGCAGGUUUCACUAUUUAAAGCAGUAUUAAAGGUAAUAUAUAAUGCUGUAGAAAAACUGUGCAGCCCAUGGUGGCGUUCUGCUUCUCAACAACAUAAACCAAAUUUAUGUCUCCCAUUUGUCAGUUGGGUCAGCUUCUUGCAUAUCUUGUGUUCCACAACUUCUUGUUUUUGUUUAUUCUUUUCAGACAAUCAUGCUGUCCAUAUUUUAUUCAUAAAUGUAAACUGUUUGUUAAAAAUGCAAUAUGUUUAGUUUAUGCUGUGCAUGCCUGAGAGCCACUUGUAUCUUUCUUUCUUUGUACAGUAGUAAGACUGUCCUGAGUAGACUUCUGUCUUGGCAUCCUGCACACUAAGUACAUCCUGCACACAGAAUAUUUUGAGCUGGAAGCAGCCCACAAAGAGCCAAAUCUUAAGUGAGUGGCCCACACAGGGAUCAAACCCACAAGCUUGGUAUCAUUUGCAAAACUGUGCUCUAACCAACUGAGCUGAAGGCUUUUCAGUCGCUAAAAGCCCUCCUACAAAUAUCAGUUCAUUCACACUGCUACAAUAAUUGAACUGUUUUCCUGGAUAAUGCUGCACAGCACUAUUUUAACUUGGUCUGGGCCCUUAAGUCAGUUGCUUAAAGGUAUUCUAGGAGUCUGUCAGUCAAAGACAAUUUCUGAUCCCCAGGCAAGGGGCUGAAGUUCCGCUGGAGAGGAUUGAAGUUUGACCUGGCACCAGAAGUGGGUACAAAAGCAGAUUGUUACAGUCAGGUGGCUGGGAAGGGACUGUGGGAAUGCUUUGCAAUCAGGGCAGACAAAAUGGAGUGACUGCCCAUCGUCUCUGCUGUAGGCCUAAUCCUGGCGAUCCUUUAUUUGGCAUACAUGUUAAGUAAAAAUACUCCAAAUUACAAGAAUUCUUCCAAAGUGCUGUGAUCUAAAUGAAAAGCACAACAAACAUUGUGCCAAUCGGUAAUAAUUCUGUUAGGGUAAGCACAGAGGUGAACCUAGACAGAUUUGGCUUUUACAUUUGAACACAGCUCAUUUUUCUUCCAAAGGGUUGUGUUCAUUAUAGAAUUAAGGAUGUGUCGAGUUUGCAGUACUCUCAUUUGAAAUCCACCUAGGUUGGGUGAGUAUGUUCUGUUUGUGUUUGCAGAGGGCCGAUAACAUAGUGCACAUUCUAUUUCUGCGAGGGUGUAGUGUUCAAAUAAAAUAAAUAAAGAGGAUAAAAUAGAUACGAGAUCUGUAUUAGGGGAAAGGCAAGUGCUUUAACCUGCUUCCCAUAGUAUUCUGGAAUCUUAAUACCUGAACCUGUUGGAAAUAUUUGUAUCAGCAGUAAAGAUCUCAGUUUAUUUUAGCAAAAGUAAAGUAUUUCUUGUAUGCAACAUUUUCUACUGGAACUGAACUGAAUUAACCCAGAUCUCUCUUUGCUAUUCUGAUAAGAUACCAAUCUUGUCUUACAAAAAUAUUUUUAUGGAGGUGUAACAAUGGCUUUUGGAACCUGAAUUGCACUCCAUCCUGAUAGAUUUAGACUAAGAACAGUACAUAUAGCAGGAAAGCUUUUAGCGUUGACACUGGGAUCUCUAAAGGGUUUAGAACAGAGGGGAAGCACAGGCCAGUAGAGGGCUCUGUCUUUUCAUGAAUCCCCUGAAGAGCCAAAAAGACCUUGGUGACUAUGAACUUACGUGCCUGUUUUAUUUUUUACAAAGAAAAGUCACCAUUUUUAUUUUCCUCACGUGUGAUGUGUCUUCACUUAAGCGGGCACAAUUGAUACAAUUAGAUCUUCCUUCAAGAUAGCAAAGAACAGGUUUCUUUUUGACCUUUCUGAAACAUGAGAGCAAUUGUACCCAUCCUUAUCUGGAAAUGUUACAUCUUGAAGCAACUCCAUCACACAUUUCCAGGCUCUUUCCGGCCGCUGUGCUUACAAGAACAGUGACCACACUAAUAGUUUAUAAGCUUCUUGCUAUUGAAGUUGUUUGCAGUUUAUUUCUCUUAUCUCUUGUCCCUGGCAUUUCUUGUCCUCUGUGUUUACUUCUCACAUGCAGGCAAAAAAAAAGGAGUAAUUUUUUCUUUCAGCCUUUUUCAGGAAAUUAGCUGUGCUUUCCUCUACAUUUGCCUUCCAGUACUGUAUUUAAAAUGUGAUAUUACUUCUUUCUUUGCAUUGCCUUUAAUUUGUACCACAUGGACUUCUAGUGACUGUCACCUCCAGGCCUGUGGGACAGAGAAAAAAAGAAAGGUCCAUGUGCCCCUUGCUCCAGCUGCCCAGCUGAAGCAGGGGUGUAUUGUUUUCCACAGACUCUCAUUUAGUCAAACCUGAGGCAAGAUGAGGAGUCGUUCUAAAGAACAUCCAUUUGCUAUAUCCCAGACUUCAUUCUCCUGUGGGGAUGGUUGGUCCCCUAGUGAAAGCCAGUGUAAAUGUGUCCUUGUCUGCCAGAGGGAUGGUACAGAUGCCAGAAAGUCUAACAACAGCAAAAAGAGGAGCUGGGGAAAGCUAGGCAUCCUAAUUUUAAACAGAGAGCUAAUUUGGGAAUUGUCAUUCUUGUGUGCAAGUAAUUCCUUCUGUUAAUUAUAUAUAGCUGCAUAUUUAAGCGCAAUACUUAAAAUGUGAAAAUGAAGCUCCUUAGCUACUUUGGGAGAUGAAAGAGAAUGAAGAGAGUGAAAGAGAAUGAAAGCUAAUGUUAACAAAAAAAAAAAAAAAAAAAAAAAAAAAAGGAAGCAUUGUGUGUUUGAGCAGCUGUCCACACUACAGAUAGAAAUACUUAAAUACUUAGAAUCACUGAGUUUUUCUUGGUCUGUGUUCAUUGUUCAUCAGACGCACUUUGGGCAGUGCAGUCUCUCGGCAUCAGGACUUGGCUGAGCUUUGCUGUGUGUCUGUGGGAGUGGGCUGAGGGUGGUGGCUCAUUAUCUGACUGGAGUCAUCAAAGGCAAGGCCAUCUGCAAACUUGCUGGGUGUGCCCCUGACUCAACCUCACUGUGCCACUGAUGAAGGUAUCAAACAGCACUGGCCUCAGUGUGGGAACUGAGGGGCAUCACUCAUCACUGAGCUCCAUCUGACCUCUGCCCUCCGAUGGGACCAUCCAGCCACUUCCUCAUCCACUGAACACUCCAACCAUCAAUUCCAUACUUCUCCAACUUAGGAUAAUGUGGGGGCCAUGUCAAAGAUCACUCAAACCAAAUAUUUAGUUUGAAAAUUUCAUGUCAAAAUGAGAUAAAAAAUCAUUAUGAUGACGUAUUGACAGCCAAGAAGAAAAUAUCUAUCCAUGGUAUUUAUUAAAACUUACCUUCAAGCUGAAGCAGAAAAAAUGCAUAGAUUAAUUACUUAGGUUUUGAUUUGUGGUUAUUUGUUCUUUUUCUUGAACAUCCAUUAAAACCAAAAUUUAUUAAAAAUACACAGUUCACUCUUUAUGCUUCAAUAUUUCAGUAUUAUAUUGUAAAUGCCUAACAGACGAAGCACAGGGAGUUUGCUUGAAAUCGUAAUGAACAAUUAAUGCUUCAAAUAUAUUUUCUGUGUUGGAGAACUCACUCAUAUGUAUUUGUCUGCCAUGCCCUAGUUUUUGGAUGACAUUAUUAAAAAAUGGGAAAAAUAAUGUAAAAAAAAAUAUUUUCAGCAUCAACACUGCAGGCUUUUCAACAUCUUUAGAAAUAUUUUUCUCUUAAUGGAAGAACCUUGUAUUUCGCUAUACUGAAUUUUAAAAUUCUUGACAGCAACACUGUUCCUGUAUCCUCCCUUUUUAAGCCAUCAAGGGAUUUGGGGGUUUCUAUACAUUUUCAAAGGUGCAGAUCUGAGCAAUAUUACAAAUAUCAUAUUCUGAGCCUUUUUUUAACACUUCUACCUUCACAAGUGUGCAAUAAAAAUGGCAAGGGGCUUCCUCAGAUCAGUAUGAUCAUAUGCUUCUUGCUUUAAGUGGUUCAUUGUAGCAAUCCUUCUCCAAUGUCACCAUUAUGGUGCCCUUAGUAACAGAGUGGACAGAACAUCUGAGGCUCUUCAGAUGAUGAAAUACAUCAAUUUCCUGCUGCUUCAGUACAGCCAUUUCUCCCUAAAAAUUCUGAGCAUUAGCCAAAGGGCAAAACUGUAUUACUUUAGGUAGAAAUUCAGACCAUUCUCUAUUUAAGGACAUGAGGUGGAUUCAGGCUCUGUUUCCUCCUUGUAACCCUAAGUGGAAACUCUUGAUUUUUAUGCAGAAGACAGUAGUUUUGUCUCAGGAGUGUUUCAUGUCUGGAAGAGUCUCUAGAGCAUUUUACGAUGGGGUUUGACUUAAAUCUAAACUGCAUUAUUCAGCUGAUGGCUACAGUGGAAGGGUUUGUGAGUUCUUAAUCAGAACUGAAAAUACUUGAGUGCUUUAAAAAUCCAGAGUGAAUUCGCACAGAACUCCCUCAUAAGAAAACUCAGGACAGGAAUUUAAAGUAAAACUAAAAUCACAAAGUUCUAGUUUUAGUUUCAGAUAUAUGACUGGUUUAUGCAUGAGUAACUUUUGAAUUUCCUUCUUUGUGUGGAUGUUAAAAUAGAUAUAUUUCUGAGCAGUUUUUAUCAAUAAAGCUGUUAGACAUCUGAAAC
ensembl:lncRNA